UUCACACUGAGACUGGCUCUAACACUUUGUCUCACUGAAUGCACAGCUGCCAAAAAGAUUCAUCUUUGUCUCCAGAUGCUAGACAAACACGCCAUUUGGAUUUGUUAAAACUCCUAGUUGAUUGCCUUUACCAAAGUAUAAAGGGAAGUUUCAUCAUGGAGAACAGCUUGAGCCAAGAAGCAGAGGAAAAUCCCUAUCUGUGUUUUCAGAGAACACCGUCUCUCAGACGUAAAUGGAGAAAGCGCUACGGAGGCCUGGACGGCAACAAACUGCUGGAGCCAAAUAAGGAGGAUGACAAAAGAGAGAAUGGAGAGAUGACAGAUGCCCUCACCAACAGGAACGCAGACCCUAUGAAGUUUACUGCGUCUAAGGCCCUGUGGAGCUCAGGAAUCAUCCGAACAGACCCGCGGAUUAAAGACUGCUGCGGAAAUUACAGGAAGCAGAUGGAACUGUUGACAGGAGCACUUUUCACAGGCCAGACUGAAUCUUGAUACCAAUAGUCAAAUUUAAAGCAUCUUAAAUAUAAAUACUAAACACCCCUAAUAUUUUAUGCUGCUAAUAUGCUUCAUUUGUGAACGUCUUGCAGGUGCGUGACUGGCUUUGUGUCUUUCAUCCUGAAGGCAUUGCAAGGAAGAUUUGUCAUUCCAGAUUUCUCUACUUUCACAGAGGAAACACAAAAGCUGUUUAUGAAAUGCAAACAACUCUCCUCUGUGAAGGUGCGUCAAAUCUGUUUCUGCUGUUGUUGUUGUUCUUCUUUUUAUAUAACAGUCUAUUGAAAAAGAUGUGCAAAGAAGCCUUAAAGUAGCACAGGUUAUUUUUUAAUUGUCUCUUGAAAAAUAUCAUAACGUGACUCAUAUCCUGUGUAUUUCUGACUAGGAGAAAGAAGACAUAAGAGAGGGUGGCAUGAAAUGGGGCAUUUCAGUUUGUACCGUGGAUGGACAGAGGUGCCACACAACAGUCCAAUUCAAUUGAUUUGAUAAGAGGUCUUCAGCAGGGGGUCUCGGCAUCCCUUAGGGGGUCCACAGUGGCACUGAGAGAGAGAGAUCAACACAAGAGAGAUAAAUCAGCAUAUUAGAAUGAUAAUUCAGC
rnacentral:lncRNA from 1 species